GAGAAUUGAAUUGAAGAACGGUCCAAUCGGCAAUCCCUAACCCAAUUCUGUUAACUUCUCUUUUUUAAGUAACUCUGUUCUGAUUUGAUAAAAAUUGAGAAAUACUGAAAGAAUGUAUGUAGUUUGAGAGAGAUCGAGAAAUACAUAGAUCGAGAGAGAGAGAGACAGAGAUAUUCUUAAAUCAAGAAAAUAAUACUGGGAUUGUCGAGAUCGGCUAUGUCGUGGAGGGUUUCUCGCCCAGCUCUGCGCCGUUAUCUGGACACUGCCAAUAAGUUUGCUGAAAGGAACGAGAAUGCAAUAUCAUGUAUGAUAAGUGUUGCCACGGCUGCAGGAAUGAUCGCCUCUUUAUUCAGGCUUCGCAGAAAUCAACGAGACGACAACUAAUCGUGUAUCGACUAUUCGACUUAACUAAUUAACUUGGCUGUAACGGUCAUGUACUGAUGUUAAUUAUUCUUCGACUUGGUUAAUUAAUAUGGAUGUAUUGGUGAUGUACUGGUUUUGAAUAUUCUAUGACUUAAUUAAUUAAUUAUCCCCUGUUUAAGCGUA